AUUGAACGCUGGCGGCAGGCCUAACACAUGCAAGUCGAGCGAGCGGCGGACGGGUGAGUCCUGUCUGGGAACCUGCCAGAUGGAGGGGGAUAACUACUGGCAACGGUAGUUCCUACCGCAUCCAAUCAGAUGUGCCCCGAUGGGAUUGGCUAGUAGGUGGGGUAACGGCUCACCUAGGCGACGAUCCCUAGCUGGUCUGGGAGGAUGAUCAGCCACACUGGAACUGAGACAAGGUCCAGACUCCUACGGGAGGCAGCAGUGGGGAAUAUUGCACAAGGGGCGCAAGCCUGAUGCAGCCAUGCCGCGUGUGUGAAGAAGGCCUUCGGGUUGUAAAGCACUUUCAGCUGGGAGGCGUUACCCGCAGAAGAAGCACCGGCUAACUCCGUGCCAGCCGCCGCGGUAAUAC
rnacentral:rRNA from 1 species